UAAAAAAUCCACUAGCCCGACGCCCGGGACUAGAUCAUUUACGCCUCGGGCAAUUAAAAUGUGUAAUCCGAUAUGCCCGACGGACUAGUAACAAAAAGUUAUUGACGUUUCCAAAAUAGAAAGUAAAAAAUCCCUUCAUCACUAUUCUAUGUUAGCCAAUUCGAUUCAAUUAAAUCAUCUGGGAUUCCAAGAAUUUGAACUGGUUUGUACAGGUCCUGUUGUACAUAUUUUUAAAAUAGAACAAAUAACUCUGGCAUGUCUGGGUGGCCUGGUAUCAUGUGUUGAUCGCAAUUCUCGUACUUAAAUAUCGAUUUCUCAUACCAUGGCUUGGGGUAUUGUACAUUGCUUAUCGUGCCCAGAUUUUCAAUUAACAGUAUUUGGGGGUAUGAUGUAUUGAUUGGUAUUGACCUGUCUUGUUGCACAGCUCUUGAGCACGAAACCAUGCAACAAAAUAUUUCUUAAUAUUUUAGUACGGGAACCCCAGGAACUUCGUCAGUUUCAAAACGAAAAACGGUAGAUGAAAGGAGUAACGAAGCUGAAAAUUCAUCCCCCAAAAAUGCUAAAUACGACAUGGAAAAUUCGCGGAAAAAAAUUAAUAGUGUCCAGGACAGAAGGGCUGCCAAGUCUUUAGCGCGAGACUCACACAUGUUCAUGCUUAUUUGGCGGCAUUUUCCUUUGAACUAUCGUUUUUUCUCUUUGAUCUUUACAAUUUGGCCAAAAAAUCACGAAUUCACUUCCUGAAAAGUUGGCAGAACUGGGACACAAUGAUUCUCCUGGCAAGGUUGGCUGUUGCUGAUGAAAAAAA
rnacentral:lncRNA from 1 species